rnacentral:lncRNA from 1 species
UUUUUACAUCAUGUGUACGACUAUAACUAUAUUAUUCGAUGGAUUAUGAUAAAUUACCUCCCUCCCCUCCCUCUCUUGAUCACCGACAAUCCGUCUUCCCUCGUUCAUUUUGUUGCCGGAUGUCGUCGAGUUUGGUUCGCUGCCGUUUCCUGCUGUUCGACGUCGUGGAGAGAGAGAAAGAGAGUCCUUUGUUCUUGCGUGAAGGGUGCCGGUAGAGCUACCUUUUUUCCUAUCGAGGAGCGGCCGUUAAGUAGCUCGUGCUUAUCAUCGCAAUUGUUUUAAAAGAGAUGGAAGGAUGGACUGAGACCCGUUGUAAAUUUUCAUUUCAAAUCAGGAGUUCAUAUAUUCACCUGAAAAAUGGAUGAGAACAAAUUUGAACCGUGAAAUGAAAUGCAAUAAAAAUUAUAAUGUGAAAAGUGUACAUAGAGAAUGUAUAAAGAAGAAAGAGACUGAAAAAAAAAUGUUGAGAUUCUCUGCACUAAGUUUAUAUGUUACAUGUAACAAUAAAUUCUACAUCACAAAAUGACAUUUUUAAGCAUAAUACUGACACUUUGUGCGAUUGUAGUUACGAUGCGAUUGUAUGCGUGAUGCUCGCAAAUUUGUAGGUAAAUAUUAAAACGGGCCCUCUUCGUGAGAAUCACUUUGUCGUUAUAAGAGACUUGGCUACGAGCUAUUAAGAUUAUCAGUAUUUCUAUUUCAAUCAUGUUUCAAUGGCUGCCGUUGCUAUAGUUAUACCUUUCCUCUGAAGAUACAUUCCUGUUUCUUGAAAUAUAGAAGGAAUAUAUAUAUUUUGCUAUAAAGAUGGGAAGAAAUGAGAGGAAAUGAAAAAUAAUUGGC